CAUGCAAGCUGAACAAGCCUAACUGAUAGACCGAGGUUAUCAGCCGGAAAGCCCUGGGUGUGUGGGUGAGGCAGCCCUCAUGACCAUCCUGAGGAAGCCGAGGGGCCCUUUGACCAGGAAGCCAUGAGGCUGAACGGAGAAUGCAUCAGACACAGCAAGCAGGGCUCCAAUUACUAGGUAGAGGGCACGAGGAGCCCAAGGCAGAUGGUUGGUUCCCAUUGCAUCAACAAACAAGGAAACCAAGCUGAAAGAAGAGGCACAAGUUGUUUCAUCUGAGACUAAAAAAAAAGCUAGACAGGAGGCAACAGAUGAUGUGAGUGAUACUGAUGAGUCAAAAGGCGCAGUCAGCGGCAGAGUGUGCGCUUCGUCCCGGAGACAAGAGAAUCAACGGAGAGAAUGUUACGUCAACCACUAAUUUGUUAAUUAAUUUUACAGAAAGGCAUCUAUGUCUCCUUACCCUCCCCCCACAAUGGCAUUUCCUCAUUCCACUGUACACUGACGUGGAGAAUUUUUCAAAAACACAAAUCUUGUAUAGUUCCUGACUAUUCACUCAAGCGGUCCGGGUUAUUUUUAUUUUUAUUUUUUUUGUCUCAAUGGAUCUGAACCAGAGCUUCAUGUUUGUCAGUGGGUCUCUGGCCUCCUUAUGAGAGGGAAUUACUCGUUACACCACCAUCCCCCACCCCUACAAGUAUGCUGUUCACAGUGAAGUCCAUCAUCAGUGUAGGGAGUGGGACCCGGCCGGGGUCAUUGGCUGAAAUCCUGCUGCCACUAGAAAUCAAGAAAAACACACAAGAGAAAUAGAGAAUGAUGAGUGGCUGAAAUAUCUACUGGGAAGAUAUUUAAAAUCCUCGGAAAUGUCGAGAGUAGGGCUGUGAACCCUAUGUUAGGACAAAGUAAUUCACAUCGCAUAAUCAUAAAGAGAUCAUCUGGUCCAUUGUUUUUAAAAUUAUUUCUUAGCAGAUUCUGUUCUCAAGCAAAAUCUUAGGCAGGCUUCUAAUACCACAAAAGGAAUAGUGAAGAUAAAGGAAGAGCUGCUCAUACUGGGAAUAUCCCAGCAUAGAUUAUUCUACAUGGUUCUAAGACAUUUCUAAUUCAAAACGGCAAGACUAAAGAGCAAAGAGUUUGCAAGAAUGUGAAUUUGCUGUUCAGUAAUUGAGCUCACUGAAAACAAAAGUGCAGCUACAACCCAAUCUCUUUUCAGAGCACAUUGGAAUGGGGUUCUUUCUAGCACUCAGUAUGUUCACAACAACUGUUCAGUGAAGUAUGGGGUACAUGGAAAAAUCUACAUUGCAGUUUAGAAAACUUCCCAGUGAAUGGUCGAAUUCAAACACCAUAUGUCAAACCAUUCACUUUUAUUGAUCAAGACAGGUUGUUCUCGUAGAGGGAAGGCUUAAUUUAAUGACUCUGGAUAACAGGUGGCUUGGUUCAUAUGUUGAUAACUAUAGAUAAUGUGCUCUUGUUUUUUAUAGUAGUACACACAUCUUUCGGGACUGGAAGCCCCAAAUAACAAAAUGCCUCAUUCACCAGCCUCUUUGCCUAUCAUCACCAUCACCCGCCUCUUCCUGGUCAUACCUGAGAAACUUCUCCUAGUCAAGGUACUAUGGUCAGUGCCGACAGGGCUUCCACGAGCUCCUCCCAGAGUGACACCGUCUGUCUAUGUGAAUCAGAGAAGGCUCUUCCUUUUCCAGUACUAUGGAAUAAUUACGAGGGAUGCAUUGAAUCCUAGCAGCAUGGGCUGUCCUCAGUAGGAUGAUGCUGUGCAUGAUGGAAAGUCACUAUACCACUUAAGAGGAGCAGUUGCUGAGCCCUCAUCCUUUACCAGCCCUCCACUGCUCUUUCCCAUCAUAGCCUCAGGGUGACUAUGAAGGGGCAGCAGGAGGAGACCUUUCUGUUGAGGGCAUAGUUCUGCACAGGAAUCUACACAUCUUGUAGGAUGGCACGGGACUACACACAUUGUAGCAAUAUGAAUUUCCUGGUUUUAAUAUUGCAAUGUUGUUCCACAACACGUAACCACAGAGGGAAGCCGCAAAGUGGAUUAGAGAUCUCUCCAUAUUAGUUUUGCAUUUUCCUGUUAAUCUAUAAUCAUGUCAAAAUAAAAGGUUUUCUUUAAAAAAAAA
rnacentral:lncRNA from 10 species